AGACGAAGGGAGCGAGCGUUGUUCGGUAUCACUGGGCUUAAAGAGCACGUAGGCGGCUUGAUGGGUCAGUUGUGAAAUCCCUGGGCUCAACCCAGGAAUCGCUUCUGAAACUAUCAGGCUUGAGGCAUUCUGGGGGUGACUGGAACUCUUGGUGGAGCGGUGACAUGCGUAGAUAUCAAGAGGAACGCCGGUGGUGAAGACGGGUCACUGGGAAUGUCCUGACGCUGAGGUGCGAAAGCUAGGGGAGCGAACGGGAUUAGAUACCCCGGUAGUCCUAGCCGUAAACGAUGUGCACUAGGUCGCGGAGGUUCUGACACCAUCGCGGCCGAAGCAAAAGUGUUAAGUGCACCGCCUGGGGAGUACGGUCGCAAGGCUAAA
rnacentral:rRNA from 1 species